rnacentral:rRNA from 1 species
CCUACGGGAGGCAGCAGUAGGGAAUCUUCCACAAUGGGCGAAAGCCUGAUGGAGCAACGCCGCGUGGGUGAAGAAGGUCUUCGGAUCGUAAAACCCUGUUGUUAGAGAAGAAAGUGCGUGAGAGUAACUGUUCACGUUUCGACGGUAUCUAACCAGAAAGCCACGGCUAACUACGUGCCAGCAGCCGCGGUAAUACGUAGGUGGCAAGCGUUAUCCGGAGUUAUUGGGCGUAAAGGGAACGCAGGCGGUCUUUUAAGUCUGAUGUGAAAGCCUUCGGCUUAACCGGAGUAGUGCAUUGGAAACUGGGAGACUUGAGUGCAGAAGAGGAGAGUGGAACUCCAUGUGUAGCGGUGAAAUGCGUAGAUAUAUGGAAGAACACCAGUGGCGAAAGCGGCUCUCUGGGCUGUAACUGACGCUGAGGUUCGAAAGCGUGGGUAGCAAACAGGAUUAGAUACCCCAGUAGUC